UUUGUUAUAACUUCAUCCAUUGUAACCAACCCUAUAUCAUGUAUCUCACCACCACACACCAACGACUUUUCUCUUCCUCCACCUCCGUCCCUCUAAAAAACCCAAAACGACGACAUCACGUGACAUGCGCAAGGUCCUCACCGUCGUCACCUCUCCUUUCACUCACUUGAUCAACAUAACAGAUGAUCGUCAUCCUUGAAAUUGAAAUUGGUGGAUUGAAGAUCAUGUUAUCUCUCCCACCCUGAGAAGGAGGAGAUAGGUGGAUAACCUACUUCUCGUUGCUCCAUAAGUCCUCCUGUUACAUGAUGCCAUCUUCACAUCCCCUAUUCGUGAACCCUAAAAGUUUGAAAGAAUGCUUUGUCUUUCAGGGUUGUACAUAAAACUAAACGAAAAAAAUGUCUUUUUUCAUAUGAUUACACAAAAAUUGGCUUAAUCGAUUUCUUAUUUCUUCCAUUUUUUAACUUUGUUCCUUAUAGUAGAUUGUUUACUUUGUAAUUGUUGGAUUUCGAUUUUCAGAUAUAGCUGGAGAAAGAACGGCUACACCCAAUUGCUUGUUGUGAGGUUGGAACAUAUUGGUCAGAGAUAACGAGGGUUAAACCCUUACCAUUAUUUUAUCUUUGGGCCUCCAACAACGAUGAGUAGAAUAUGCAGGUAUGAUACCACAACUUGAGGCUUUUACACUAAACUAAACGGAAAUCUGGUUGCUUACAACAAGCGGGGGAAUCAUGAAGAGUUGUAGUUCUUUGAUUAGUGCUUCAAAUUUUUUGUUUUCUAAUUAAAGCUUCAUACAUGAAUCGUUGGGGCAAGUCAACCAAGAGAUUGUAGGCGUAAUACUGCCAAAACUUGUUUAGUUAUGUAUGUAUAUGUGCAACAUAGUUACCAAUAUGUAUGUAAAACUGUAAACCAUGUUUUUAAGGAGACGAUGAUUAUGAGGCUUGGGAGGGUAGUUUAGUCCUUAUAAUUGUUUUUUAGGUGGGAAAAUUCAGUUAAGAGAGUUGUAUGAAUAAAAUAAUCUUGUUAGGAAGUAGUGGGGAGACCUAUCUCUCAAGUAUGGGAAUUCAUUUUUUUCUUUCUUGAUUUUCUAUCAAACCUGUAUCAGAGUACAUGUGCUUAUAUUUAUUUGGUGUAAAAUAUUACAUAUUUAUUUUAUAUAUACGAAGAUAUUUUGACUGUA